GAUGAACGCUGGCGGCGUGCCUAACACAUGCAAGUCGAGCGAACAGACGAGGAGCUUGCUCCUCUGACGUUAGCGGCGGACGGGUGAGUAACACGUGGAUAACCUAUCUAUAAGACUUGGAUAACGUCGGCAAACCGUAGCUAAUACCGGAUAAUAUUACGAACCGCAUGGUUCUAUAGUGAAAUACGGUUUUUCUGUCACUUAUAGAUGGAUCCGCGCCGCAUUAGCUAGUUGGUAAGGUAACGGCUUACCAAGGCAACGAUGCGUAGCCGACCUGAGAGGGUGAUCGGCCACACUGGAACUGAGACACGGUCCAGACUCCUACGGGAGGCAGCAGUAGGGAAUCUUCCGCAAUGGGCGAAAGCCUGACGGAGCAACGCCGCGUGAGUGAUGAAGGUCUUCGGAUCGUAAAACUCUGUUAUUAGGGAAGAACAAAUGUGUAAGUAACUAUGCACGUCUUGACGGUACCUAAUCAGAAAGCCACGGCUAACUACGUG
rnacentral:rRNA from 1 species